rnacentral:lncRNA from 1 species
GGGCUUUUGGAACAAUGUAUCACUUUGCAUCAAGGUAUGUUUAUGGGGGCUGUUUGCAUCUAGUCAUAUGCUGGGGUGUUUGCAUCUAUGUAUUUCUACGUUGGGGCUGUUUGCAUCUAGUCAAGUAGUCAUACUUGUAGUUGUAACUUGUGCAUUUCUAAUGUUGGGGCUGUUUGAACGUGCUUAUAUGACUAAUUUGAUCAUUUUUUAUGUUACCUUGCAAGGUUUUUGAGCCAUUGGUGAAGGUGCUUCGGUUGGCUGAUGGGGAUGGUCCAUCUAUGGCCUCUAUGUAUGGAGAACUAAUAAGUGCAAAAAGGGAAAUCAAGGUUGCUGUUGAAAAUUCAGAAAAAAGACUAUUUGGUGAUCACUAAUGCCAUGAAUACCAAGAUGAGUGGGAGGCUGGAUUCUCC